rnacentral:rRNA from 1 species
UACGUAGGGUGCAAGCGUUACUCGGAAUUACUGGGCGUAAAGCGUGCGCAGGCGGUUUUGUAAGUCAGAUGUGAAAUCCCCGGGCUUAACCUGGGAACUGCCCUCCAAACUGUUUGACUUGAGUCCGGGAGAGGUGAGUGGAAUUCCCAGUGUAGCGGUGAAAUGCGUAGAUAUUGGGAGGAACACCAGUGGCGAAGGCGGCUCACUGGACCGGAACUGACGCGGAGGCGCGAAAGCGUGGGGAGAAAACAGG